rnacentral:rRNA from 1 species
UCCAGACUCCUACGGGAGGCAGCAGUGGGGGAUAUUGCACAAUGGGGGGAACCCUGAUGCAGCGACGCCGCGUGGGUGAAGGAGCGUUUCGGCGCGUAAAGCCCUAUCGGCAGGGAAGGAGGAGGACGGUACCUGACUAAGAAGCCCCGGCUAACUACGUGCCAGCAGCCGCGGUAAUACGUAGGGGGCAAGCGUUAUCCGGAUUUACUGGGUGUAAAGGGGGCGCAGACGGCAGCGCAAGCCAGGAGUGAAAGCCCGGGGCCCAACCCCGGGACUGCUCUUGGAACUGCGCGGCUGGAGUGCAGGAGGGGCAGGCGGAAUUCCUGGUGUAGCGGUGAAAUGCGUAGAUAUCAGGAGGAACACCGGUGGCGAAGGCGGCCUGCUGGACUGCGACUGACGUUGAGGCCCGAAAGCGUGGGGAGCAAACAGGAUUAGAUACCCUCGUAU